UGGUCAUUACCGAGGCUUUAAGAAUACAGUUUCUCAUUUGCUGUGGACAUGACCAUAAAAAACCACCACCACUAAGUUUGCGGGGUGCUGCUUUGCUAGCAAUUGACCUUUUGGGAACAUUU
ensembl:snoRNA